rnacentral:rRNA from 1 species
UACGGAGGGAGCUAGCGUCGUUCGGAAUUGCUGGGCGUAAAGCGCACGUAGGCGGCUUUGUAAGUUAGAGGUGAAAGCCUGGGGCUCAACCCCAGAAUUGCCUUUAAGACUGCAUCGCUUGAAUCCAGGAGAGGUGAGUGGAAUUCCGAGUGUAGAGGUGAAAUUCGUAGAUAUUCGGAAGAACACCAGUGGCGAAGGCGGCUCACUGGCUCGUAUCUGACGCUCAGGCGCGACAGCGUGGGUAUCAAACAGG